rnacentral:rRNA from 1 species
UACAGAGGGUGCGAGCGUUGUCCGGAAUCACUGGGCGUAAAGGGCGCGUAGGCGGCUUCUUAAGCGUGCCGUGAAAGCGCGGGGCUCAACCCCGCGUCGGCGGGUGCGAACUGGGGAGCUGGAGCACGUCAGAGGCAGGCGGAAUUCCGGGUGUAGCGGUGGAAUGCGUGAGAGAUCCGGAAGAACGACCGGUGGCGAAGGCGGCCUGCUGGGACGUGGCUGACGGCUGAGGCGCGACAGCGGUGGGGAGCAAACAGG